UGGUCAGUGUACUACACGCUACACGGUACCGUGCGUUGAAACGCGAUGAAAAUGAGGAAAGAGAUGGCCGGCGUAAAUCCCCGGAAACCCACCAAUAUCUUGUUAAAAAAUGCAAAUAACUCGACUCGACUGAACACUUUCCUUACAAAAAGCCUUCGAUUCGUGUAACGUUGGCGGUGCUAGUCUACUCGUUUGCAUCGAAUAUUCUUGUUCAUUAAAUCGGAAUGAUGGAAUCGUACAAAUGCUGUAGAUGAAUAUUAAUGACUGCCAUCUGGAGUUAAGAAUAUUUGGAUGAUGUCAGGAGCAAGGAUAACGGUAUGAUGUAUAAAUUAUACAAUAUAAUACAUGCUUGAUUUAUUUUAGGAAUGGAUGACAUAAAAUAUAUUCGCUAAAACACGGGUUCACAUCGGACGAGGUGGCCGAGUGGUUAAGGCGUUGGACUGCUAAUCCAAUGUGCUCUGCACGCGUGGGUUCGAAUCCCAUCCUCGUCGAUUCGCUUUUUGUUACUUUGCAAAACAUUCUAGUUCAUAAGGUAUGUACAAUUGGAGAAAGUUGCUAAAAAAAUUGACGACUCUUUAAUGUCCGAGAGUCAGAAGUUUAUUGAACUCGAUGUAAAAAGAAAAGUGCAGCAGUAGAAAUUCAGAAUGUAUAUUUAAAAUACAUUUGUAUGUAGUAUUUAUUUAAAAUAAAAUUUUAUUAUGUAAUAUUUUAUUGAAUUUUAUUGAAACAAAUACAGAAUCAGAUAAUUAAUUAAAAAGCAGUUCAGUCCUAUGUAACUACAUGUAUCAUUUGUUUGCUGGUACGUAUUUGAAAAUUAUUUUCUAUUACUUACGGCAGAAUUUCAUGCAUCUGAAUUUGUCGGGGAACGAAGAGUUUAUAUUUUAUAUAACUGGAAUUCAUAAAAUAAGAGCUUACCAAUGUUUCCCAUUAUUUACUAUUUUUGGUUCAUACAAUAGGAGCUUGCGCUUAAGCAGGCGAAUUCAAGUAGCGAAAUUUCAGUUAUACAAAAUUUAGUUAGCAUUAACUAAAAUUUUGUUCAAAUGAAUGGAGUUCAUUUAGAUGAAGUUCCAUUGUAUAUGUAUUAAUUUAUUAUUAUUUUAGAAACAGUGAUUAAUGACUUCGUUAGAAAUACCUAAAAAAAUUUUACGACUCUUUAAUGAACCAGAAGUACUAAAAAAAAAGGAAGUAAAAUUUUAUUACUUAUGUAACACGUCAUUAUCAAAUUAUGAUAUUGGAUAAACUAAUUUUAUUGAAAUAGCAUAUUUGAAAAACUUAGUUUAGUUUGAAGUCAAUACGUAGAUUGUUUGUGUAAUAAAAUAUUUUCCGUUAUUUAUAUACAUUCCAAUUUAUUAUUACUUUAUGGACAGUGUUUAAUGACUUUUCAAUAAGUAUAAUAUAUUCAUUAAAAUCCCUAAAAUCCGCUUCUACAUAUAUUGUAGAGUACGAGUAUUGAAUUUAUAAAUGUAUGUUUAUUACAUACAUGUUAAUUAGCUCAAAUGAAUUAAGAUAUAUUUAUUCGAAAACUACGUAGUACUUAUGUAUAUUUGUGCACAUUUUCUCCCUUUCUUUUCAAACAUGAUAUAAAAUAAUUGAUUUACAGUAUGAUACAAGAUAUUAAGCACGUAUAUCUAACCACGAAUUUAACCAAGAUUGUAUUAAACAAGUUUAUGUAAUGGAAUAAAUUUUUAUAAUCGACGAA